rnacentral:rRNA from 1 species
AGCUCCAAUAGCGUAUAUUAAAGUUGUUGCAGUUAAAAAGCUCGUAGUUGGAUUUCUGGGAGAGUGCCAAUGUCCGCCGACGUGCGUGCGCAGCGGCGCUCUUUCAUCCUUCUGUCAACGGCUCUUGGCAUUCAUUUGCUGGUGUCGGGCUCAGAUAUUUUACCUUGAGAAAAUUAGAGUGUUUCAGGCAGGCUAGGCCGGAAUACAUUAGCAUGGAAUAAUGGAAUAGGACUACGGUCUCUUUGUUGGUUUGAGGGACUGCAGUAAUGAUUAAUAGGGAUAGUUGGGGGCAUUAGUAUUUAAUUGUCAGAGGUGGAAUUCUCGGAUUUGUUAAAGACUAACUUAUGCGAAAGCAUUUGUCAAGGAUGUUUUCA